AGUUCAUAUUUCUUCUGUUAUUAGUAUUCAAGAUUAUAUCCUAUAUAUAUGGUUCAUUUCUCAGAAGUAACAGUUGAGUUAAUGCAGAAGGGAGGGAAAGGGAGUAUAGCAAAUUACAGAGAUAAAUAGAGUGGUUUUGCUUUGGAUGUGCAAAAUGACCAGGGAUUUUAUGUAGAAUGAGUACAAGAAGAGUCCACAGACAAUGGCAGACAUGAACUCAAGUGACAGAAGAAGGGAGAGGACUUCAAACUGCAAAAAGAAAAAAAAAAAAAAAGAACUCUUUCUAUGAAAUAAAAAAAUUUCAUGAAGGAUCGAGCAAUAUUAAUAUUGCUUCGCUAUCUGCAGCCGGUUACUCUCGCUCAUCCAUUAUACUUGGACAACUUGAAGGUUUUAGUUGAUUCACACGAGAUAUUAGGCUGCCUCAGAAUUCUCAUGAGCUUCUGUUUUUUGUGUGUAUGAUUCUUGUUCCCCAACUCAGAGUUGCCAUUAACUGUCAUAGAUUCUUGAUUUUCCAUAUUUGAUGAGGAUGCUCAAGUUUAUCAAUGACUUUAGUUACAUGG